rnacentral:rRNA from 1 species
UUAGUGGCGAACGGGUGAGUAACACGUGAGUAACCUGCCCUUAACUCUGGGAUAAGCCUGGGAAACUGGGUCUAAUACCGGAUAUGACUCCUCAUCGCAUGGUGGGGGGUGGAAAGCUUUUUGUGGUUUUGGAUGGACUCGCGGCCUAUCAGCUUGUUGGUGAGGUAAUGGCUUACCAAGGCGACGACGGGUAGCCGGCCUGAGAGGGUGACCGGCCACACUGGGACUGAGACACGGCCCAGACUCCUACGGGAGGCAGCAGUGGGGAAUAUUGCACAAUGGGCGCAAGCCUGAUGCAGCGACGCCGCGUGAGGGAUGACGGCCUUCGGGUUGUAAACCUCUUUCAGUAGGGAAGAAGCGAAAGUGACGGUACCUGCAGAAGAAGCGCCGGCUAACUACGUGCCAGCAGCCGCGGUAAUACGUAGGGCGCAAGCGUUAUCCGGAAUUAUUGGGCGUAAAGAGCUCGUAGGCGGUUUGUCGCGUCUGCCGUGAAAGUCCGGGGCUCAACUCCGGAUCUGCGGUGGGUACGGGCAGACUAGAGUGAUGUAGGGGAGACUGGAAUUCCUGGUGUAGCGGUGAAAUGCGCAGAUAUCAGGAGGAACACCGAUGGCGAAGGCAGGUCUCUGGGCAUUAACUGACGCUGAGGAGCGAAAGCAUGGGGAGCGAACAG